UGUGCUGGGAGGAGAGUCUAACUGUAAC
rnacentral:piRNA from 1 species